ensembl:lncRNA
AAGAUUGUUAUGAAAAUGAAAAGGUUGCACACAGAUUUACGUCAGACCUCCUGGCAAACCCACUGAUUCUGUUCAAACUGAACUGGUUUCAUAGGUUUUUGCUGUGACAGCCUUGAGAAGGACUUUUUUCUCUAUUUUGUUGUUGUUGUUGUUGUUGUUGUUCUCCAUUUUAUGAGGAAACAGAACUUAAAAAAAACAAACCAGAACAAAUUAAACAAGAAAUAUCUGCAAGACUAGAUAAAAUUUCCAUUCUGGCCCAACUCUGCAGCUGCUGAUUGAAAACUUUUCGUGAGGCACUAAUCACUGAAGCCAGCUGUUGUAGGUGUACUGGGAAAAAACGCUUGGGCAUCGAUGACACAUAUUUAAAAUAAAUAAAUAAAUACUGCCACCAGCCCACUAUUAUAAUUGCUGCCGUAGGUGGCAACCUCUUACUCUGUGCUCGUCUUUCUUUGACAGCGAUAAUGUUUGUGACGUGAUUGUGUCUGCCUCCGAGCUAACAAAUGAAACGGGGCAGAGGUCAAAUUUUAAACAAAAGGGAAAUACAGAAAAAGCUACAGAGAACAAACGGGCAGUGCAUAAUCACCCUUCACUCCCACACCAUCUCCAUAUGCAGAGGGAAGCUGCAUGAUAAACAUGAUCUCCUGCUGGUUAAUGAAGACCCUUGCUGGGAUAGAUGCAGGCUUGGUAAGGGUAAUGAAUGAGAUGAAGUAAAAUUGAACCUGUAGUGGCAUCGUUCCAGGUUUUUAAACCCACCUGAGAAUGAAGCCGAUGAAAAACGUACCAAAAAAAUGACACAAGCUGUGCAGAUGAGAGUAGAAGCAUUCUCCAUUGCGCACAUUAUUUUAGCGAAGUGUUUGGUUCCUGCUGUGAACACAAAUUGCAGACCAGCAUAUUUAGAAGGAUACAGUGGAUUUAGCUGCUCAGCUGUACCUGUUAUAUCAAUAAGUGCCUGAGAUAAUAUCACAAAAUGUUACACAAAGAAGGUUAUGAUGUGAUUUUUUUUUUUCUGUCAGUGACACUGCAGCACACAAAUUGCAGUGGAUUUUGUGUUUUUGUUUUUUUUAAUCCAUCUUAAGGGUACACUUUCCUGAACGUUUCUCUUUUAAUAUUUGUAAGAGCCAACACUUGCGGACAGUUAUCAUUGUAUUUGUACUCUGUUUGAUAUGCCUUCAAACAUACUGCAGCAGGAUGUGUUUUAAAGUAUCUCAAAACAAAUGGAAGUUAUUAGAUGCUGAUGUGCAAUUGUUGUGUUUGUUGUUGUUGGGGUUUUUUUUCAGAAAACUUUUACAUGAUCUAUUAAGAAAUGUAUGCAGCCACUUCUUCCUGUACAUAUCAAAUUUAGAAUAAAACAGAAGGCUGUUCCAUCC